rnacentral:tRNA from 1 species
CGGGGCGUGGCGCAGUCUGGUAGCGCACUACAAUGGGGUUGUAGGGGUCGAAGGUUCGAAUCCUUUCGCCCCGACCA